GACCAGACUCCUACGGGAGGCAGCAGUGGGGAAUAUUGCACAAUGGGGGAAACCCUGAUGCAGCGACGCCGCGUGAGUGAAGAAGUAUUUCGGUAUGUAAAGCUCUAUCAGCAGGGAAGAAAAUGACGGUACCUGACUAAGAAGCCCCGGCUAACUACGUGCCAGCAGCCGCGGUAAUACGUAGGGGGCAAGCGUUAUCCGGAUUUACUGGGUGUAAAGGGAGCGUAGACGGCAUGGCAAGUCAGAUGUGAAAGCCCGGGGCUCAACCCCGGGACUGCAUUUGAAACUGUCAGGCUGGAGUGCAGGAGAGGGAAGUGGAAUUCCUAGUGUAGCGGUGAAAUGCGUAGAUAUUAGGAGGAACACCAGUGGCGAAGGCGGCUUACUGGACUGUAACUGACGUUGAGGCUCGAAAGCGUGGGGAGCAAACAGGAUUAGAUACCCGAGUACGA
rnacentral:rRNA from 1 species